GAUACGUCAAUUGAUUAGAUGAUCCAAUUGCUGAUAUGACUUUGUUUUGUACUACACCCCUCAUUUUGACGUCACCACAAACAGCUUAAACAAUGGCAGUCCCAGACAAACUGAAGUCUUCCGCAUACUUGAGUCGUCAGGCAGAUUUCUUUAGUCAGCAGCCCUACAUUUCACUUAUCACCAUAGCAAGCUGGGUUUGCCAUGUUAAAUACACAAUUAUUCAUGGUAAAGUUCUCUCACCAGGAGCACGGCCUUUGUGUACUGUGGCCUGUAUGAAGCGCUAGUCUUUGGAGGCCAACUUCUCAUGAAGUAAAGGCCUCAACUUCAUCUACGUGGGCCACUGGUUUCUGUGGUCACUCAGCCUGGCCAUCUUCAGUAUUGUUGGAGCAAUUCGAACAGGAUGGUACAUGCUGUAUGUCCUCUCCACCAGUGGUUUCAAAUAGUCUAUAUGUGACUAGAGCUUCUACAGUGGACCAGUGAGCAAGUUCUGUGCUUAUGCCUUUGUCCUGAGCAAUGCCCCGGAACUGGGUAAGAACUGGGGUUGGAACUAGCAGGCAUCUGUAUGAUCUUGACAUUUUGUCCACUUGUACCAUAUCUAAUUAAUGUAUGGCAAACCAUAUAACUGGUCUCUUUUGCAUAAACCAUGCUUUGAUAUUGUUGCAGGAAUUGAAUUCCUCUGUUUUAAUACCCAAUUAAAAUUAAACA